rnacentral:lncRNA from 1 species
AAAGUUUAAUUUAUCAAUUCAUAUUUUGCAGUGAUUACAAACAUCUACAAAAUAAUUUACAGACAUAUUUAUAUAUUCAAUAAUAUGUAUUAAUUUAUCCACGUUACACGUGGUAAUAUUUAAACAAUUAAAGUUAAGAUAAUGAAUUCAUUAAUAAAUAUAUUUAUUAUAAUUCUAACUCGGAAACGAAACGUUAAAAAAAAGUUGUCGGCACCAAAAAGUUUCGUACUAACUAAAAACCCGAAAGGUCUUCAACAACGGUAUUGAAAACUUUGGGAACAACCAUUAAAAUGUUUAUAUCUAUUUUUAAAGAUGUGUUUAAUCUGUAGUUUUGCAAAUUUUUAUUUUUUUUGAAUUGAUUUAUAUAAUGAUAUAAAAAAACUUAAUAAAUAUUUUUUUAAAUAUAUUUCUAUACAAAAAUUACUUUAAAAAACAUCUUACCUGUGAAACGUGCUCUCCACAGUCUACAUGAAGGUGUAAAUUAAAUUUUUUUUUUUUUAUAAAAAAAAGUCUUUAAAGAACUCGUAAUUCCAAGACCACACAUACUUUCCGAACAGCGAAGGGAGAAAUCACAGAUUGCUCAACACGGACACAAAAGUUUAAGAAACUAUUACUAUUAUUAUUGUUGAAACUGAAAACACGCAUUACUGUUGUUACAAUAACAACAAUUCAGCGGCAUAAAGGAGAGAAAAAGAUCAAACACACACACAGUAACUUAAUUAAUAAUUUAGAUGUAGUAAAUACU